ACCUCUGGAAGAACAAGCCAGUGCUCUUAACCACUGAGCCAUCUCUCCAGCCCCCUGGUAUUCUUUCUGCUUCUACUGUACUCCUCCCAUCCUCCACCCCUCCCUCCCUCUGUCAAGGUUUUUCCCAGCUGAUACCUCGUCCAUGAGCCUUCUCCAAGCUCUGCUGUCCAACUAUCCCCUCUGCUCCCGCAGCUGCCCCUAAGGCCCCGUGAGAGCCCAGGCCUUGUUCUCACACAGUUUUCCCCUCUGCCUCCCUGUCUAGACUGUGAGUGCCUGGGGUCUGGAAAUGAGCCUAUCUCUGACCCCAAUGCCUACUCUCCCUUUCCUAUCCCUACCCUCUUGUGGGUUCUGCCUCAGAGGACACAGAAGCCUUUUUCCUUUGUCUAUUACUAGAACCAGGGCCAUGUUUGUGCUCAGCAGCCCUAAGGGGAAGACUUUAUCUCUGCGUCUUGUAGCUCCUGCCCUGAACUGAAGGCAGCCCCAGCCAGACUUUCUGUUUUUACCUCAGUCUAGAGAGGCCACAGGGCUCCACAUAGAUUAGAGGUUGCCAUGACUAUCCCUACUUACUCCAGGCACACAGGUAACUCUGUCAAAGCAACUCUGAUAGAGAUGGGAGGAUUUCUCCCUCCCUCUUGUACUAUGCAUUCAUGUACAAAUUCAUAUCAAGGCGGGGUCAGGGAGCACUCAGGCCUGAGGACAGGGCCUUGAACAGGCUUUGAAGGUCCCUGGCUUCCUGUUGACCAGUCAUCUCCACUCUGACAGCACAGCAAAGAAGAGAGAAGAAGGCUAAGGAGGCUGGACUGGCUAAGAACCAGUGGAGGGAUGGAAUGCCAGCCUGAGAGAGCCCUUAGAAGCCAGCUCUGUCCUUGAUUCUCUAGAAACCAGGGGGCUGGAGAGGGAUGCCAGCCAGUCACAGAGAGGCAUUGUGUCUUUCUGGGGCCAUGGUAACAAAGCACCACAGACCGGGUUGAUUAAAGAGAACUGUACUGUCUCCGGAUUCUGGAGCCAAAGUCAGAGAUCAAAGUGUGGGCAGGUCCCACUUAACUGGAAUGGUCCAGUAUGUGGUUCUUCUGUGGCUGGCUGGCUCUUCUCUCAGCAAGUCCAAUGUUUGUAUAAGGACAGCAAUCGCAUGAGACUGAAGCCCAACCCACUCCGGUGUAACCACAUCUUAACAACCAGCUGCAGCUGCAACAUGAUUUCCCACUGAGUUGGGGUGAGGACCCCAACUAUGAAUAAAGGGGAUACAGCUCAACCCCUAACAGCCACACUGCUAGACAACGUAAGGUUA